AGCCUAUGGUCGAUGAUCAAUGGCCACACAACCCCCAUUUUGUCGAAAAUAGCCAUGAAUGACCAUUUACAAUAAUACCGAAGGCUAACACCUACGGAUUUUUGACCAAGAAAUGGUCUCCACCAGAAAUCCAAGAAUGUGAUCUAUGGCAAGGAAACAUAUGUGGGGUGAUGUGUAUGAGCCUCUGGUCGAUGAUCAAUGGCCACACAACCCCCAUUUUUGUCGAAAAUAGCCAUGAACGACCAUUUUCAAUAAUAUCGAAGGCUAACACCUACGGAUUUUUGACCAAGAAAUGGUCUCCACCAGAAAUCCAAGAAUGUGAUCUAUGACAAGGAAACAUUUGUGGGGUGAGGUGUAUGAGCCUCUGGUCGACGAUCAAUGGCCACACAACCCCCAUUUUGCCGAAAAUAGCCAUGAAUGACCAUUUUCAAUAAUACCGAAGGCUAACACGUACGAGUUUUUAACCAAGAAAUGGCUUCCACCAGAAAUCCAAGAAUGUAAUCUAUGGCAAGGAAACAUAUGUGGGGUGAGGUUUAUGAGCCUCUAGUCGAUGAUAAAUGGCCACACAACCCCCAUUUUUUAUGAAAAUAGCCAUGAGCGACCUUGAAAAUAGCCAUGAGCGACCAUUUUCAAUAAUACUAGAGGCUAACACCUACGGAUUUUAGACCAAGAAAUGGUCUCCACCAGAAAUCCAAGAAUGUGAUCUACGACAAGGAAACAUAUGUGGGGUGAGGUGUAUGAGCCUCUGGUCGACGAUCAAUGGCCACACAACCCCCAUUUUGCCGAAAAUAGCCAUGAAUGACCAUUUUCAAUAAUACCGAAGGCUAACACGUACGAGUUUUUAACCAAGAAAUGGCUUCCACCAGAAAUCCAAGAAUGUAAUCUAUGGCAAGGAAACAUAUGUGGGGUGAGGUUUAUGAGCCUCUAGUCGAUGAUAAAUGGCCACACAACCCCCAUUUUUUAUGAAAAUAGCCAUGAGCGACCUUGAAAAUAGCCAUGAGCGACCAUUUUCAAUAAUACUAGAGGCUAACACCUACGGAUUUUAGACCAAGAAAUGGUCUCCACCAGAAAUCCAAGAAUGUGAUCUAUGGCAAGGAAACAUAUGUGGGGUGAGGUGUAUGAGCGUCUGGUCGAUGAUCAAUGGACACACAACCCCCAUUUUUGUCGAAAAUAGCCAUGAACGACCAUUUUCAAUAAUACCGAAGGCUAACACCUACGGAUUUUUGACCAAGAAAUGGUCUCCACCAAUAAUCCAAGAAUGUGAUUUAUGGCAAAGAAACAUAUGUGGGGUGAGGUGUAUGAGCCUCUUGUCGACGAUCAAUGGCCACACAACCCUAAUUUUUGUCGAAAAUAGCCAUGAACGACCAUUUUCAAUGACACUGAAGGCUAACACCUACGGAUUUUUGACCAAGAAAUGGUCUCCACCAUAAAUCCAAGAAUGUGAUCUAUGGCAAGGAAACAUAUGUGUAGUGAGGUGUAUGAGCCUCUGGUCGAAGAUCAAUGGCCACACAACCCCCAUUUUUGUCGAAAAUAGCCAUGAAUGACCAUUUUCAAAAAUACCAAAGGCUAACACGUACGGAUUUUUGACCAAGAAAUGGUCUCCACCAGAAAUCCAAGAAUGUGAUCUAUGUCAAGGAAACAUAUGUGGGGUGAGGUGUACGAGCCUCUGGUCGAUGAUCAAUGGCCACACAACCCCCAUUUUGCCGAAAAUAGCCAUGAACGACCAUUUUCAAUAAUACCGAAGGCUAACACGUACGAGUUUUUAACCAAGAAAUGGUCUCCACCAGAAAUCCAAGAAUGUGAUCUAUGGCAAUGAAACAUAUGUGGGGUGAGGUUUAUGAGCCUCUAGUCGAUGAUAAAUGGCCACACAACCCCCAUUUUUUAUGAAAAUAGCCAUGAGCGACCUUCAAAAUAGCCAUGAGCGACCAUUUUCAAUAAUACUAGAGGCUAACACCUACGGAUUUUAGACCAAGAAAUGGUCUCCACCAGAAAUCCAAGAAUGUGAUCUAUGGCAAGGAAACAUAUGUGGGGUGAGGUGUAUGAGCGUCUGGUCGAUGAUCAAUGGCCACACAACCCCCAUUUUUGUCGAAAAUAGCCAUGAACGACCAUUUUCAAUAAUACCUAGGCUAACACCUACGGAUUUUUGACCAAGAAAUGGUCUCCACCAGAAAUCCAAGAAUGUGAUCUAUGGCAAGGAAACAUAUGUGGGGUGAGGUGUAUGAGCCUCUGGUCGACGAUCAAUGGCCACACAACCCUAAUUUUUGUCGAAAAUAGCCAUGAACGACCAUUUUCAAUGACACUGAAGGCUAACACCUACGGAUUUUUGACCAAGAAAUGGUCUCCACCAUAAAUCCAAGAAUGUGAUCUAUGGCAAGGAAACAUAUGUGUAGUGAGGUGUAUGAGCCUCUGGUCGAAGAUCAAUGGCCACACAACCCCCAUUUUUGUCGAAAAUAGCCAUGAAUGACCAUUUUCAAAAAUACCAAAGGCUAACACAUUCGAUUUUUGCCCAAGAAAUGGUCUCCACCAGAAAUCCAAGAAUGUGAUCUAUGGCAAGGAAACAUAUGUGGGGUGAGGUGUACGAGCCUCUGGUCGAUGAUCAAUGGCCACAGAACCCCCAUUUUGCCGAAAAUAGCCAUGAACGACCAUUUUCAAUAAUACCGAAGGCUAACACGUACGAGUUUUUGACCAAGAAAUGGUCUCCACCAAAAAUCCAAGAAUGUGAUCUAUGGCAAGGAAACAUAUGUGGGGUGAGAUUUAUGAGCCUCUAGUCGAUGAUAAAUGGCCACACAACCCCCAUUUUUUUAUGAAAAUAGCCAUGAGCGACCAUUUUCAAUAAUAUUAGAGGCUAAGACCUACGGAUUUUUGACCAAGAAAUGGUCUCCACCAGAAAUCCAAGAAUGUGAUCUAUGGCAAGGAAACAUAUGUGGGGUGAGGUGUAUGAGCCUCUGGUCGAUGAUCAAUGGCCACACAACCCCCAUUUUUGUCGAAAAUAGCCAUGAAUGACCAUUUACAAUAAUACCGAAGGCUAACACCUACGGAUUUUUUACCAAGAAAUGGUCUCCACCAGAAAUCCAAGAAUGUGAUCUAUGGCAAGGAAACAUAUGUGGGGUGAGGUGUAUGAGCCUCUGGUCGAUGAUCAAUGGCCACACAACCCCAUUUUUGUCAAAAUAGCCAUGAACGACCAUUUUCAAUAAUAUCGAAGGCUAACACCUACGGAUUUUUGACCAAGAAAUGGUCUCCACCAGAAAUCCAAGAAUGUGAUCUACGACAAGGAAACAUAUGUGGGGUGAGGUGUAUGAGCCUCUGGUCGACGAUCAAUGGCCACACAACCCCCAUUUUGCCGAAAAUAGCCAUGAAUGACCAUUUUCAAUAAUACCGAAGGCUAACACGUACGAGUUUUUAACCAAGAAAUGGUUUCCACCAGAAAUCCAAGAAUGUAAUCUAUGGCAAGGAAACAUAUGUGGGGUGAGGUUUAUGAGCCUCUAGUCGAUGAUAAAUGGCCACACAACCCCCAUUUUUUAUGAAAAUAGCCAUGAGCGACCUUGAAAAUAGCCAUGAGCGACCAUUUUCAAUAAUAUUAGAGGCUAAGACCUACGGAUUUUUGACCAAGAAAUGGUCUCCACCAGAAAUCCAAGAAUGUGAUCUAUGGCAAGGAAACAUAUGUGGGGUGAGGUGUAUGAGCCUCUGGUCGAUGAUCAAUGGCCACACAACCCCCAUUUUUGUCGAAAAUAGCCAUGAAUGACCAUUUACAAUAAUACCGAAGGCUAACACCUACGGAUUUUUGACCAAGAAAUGGUCUCCACCAGAAAUCCAAGAAUGUGAUCUAUGGCAAGGAAACAUAUGUGGGGUGAGGUGUAUGAGCCUCUGGUCGAUAAUCAAUGGCCACACAACCCCCAUUUUUGUCGAAAAUAGCCAUGAACGACCAUUUUCAAUAAUAUCGAAGGCUAACACCUAUGGAUUUUUGACCAAGAAAUGGUCUCCACCAGAAAUCCAAGAAUGUGAUCUACGACAAGGAAACAUAUGUGGGGUGAGGUGUAUGAGCCUCUGGUCGACGAUCAAUGGCCACACAACCCCCAUUUUGCCGAAAAUAGCCAUGAAUGACCAUUUUCAAUAAUACCGAAGGCUAACACGUACGAGUUUUUAACCAAGAAAUGGUUUCCACCAGAAAUCCAAGAAUGUAAUCUAUGGCAAGGAAACAUAUGUGGGGUGAGGUUUAUGAGCCUCUAGUCGAUGAUAAAUGGCCACACAACCCCCAUUUUUUAUGAAAAUAGCCAUGAGCGACCUUGAAAAUAGCCAUGAGCGACCAUUUUCAAUAAUACUAGAGGCUAACACCUACGGAUUUUAGACCAAGAAAUGGUCUCCACCAGAAAUCCAAGAAUGUGAUCUAUGGCAAGGAAACAUAUGUGGGGUGAGGUGUAUGAGCGUCUGGUCGAUGAUCAAUGGCCACACAACCCCCAUUUUUGUCGAAAAUAGCCAUGAACGACCAUUUUCAAUAAUACCGAAGGCUAACACCUACGGAAUUUUGACCAAGAAAUGGUCUCCACCAGAAAUCCAAGAAUGUGAUCUAUGGCAAGGAAACAUAUGUGGGGUGAGGUGUAUGAGCCUCUGGUCGACGAUCAAUGGCCACACAACCCCCAUUUUUUAUGAAAAUAGCCAUGAGCGACCUUGAAAAUAGCCAUGAGCGACCAUUUUCAAUAAUACUAGAGGCUAACACCUACGGAUUUUAGACCAAGAAAUGGUCUCCACCAGAAAUCCAAGAAUGUGAUCUAUGGCAAGGAAACAUAUGUGGGGUGAGGUGUAUGAGCGUCUGGUCGAUGAUCAAUGGCCACACAACCCCCAUUUUUGUCGAAAAUAGCCAUGAACGACCAUUUUCAAUAAUACCGAAGGCUAACACCUACGGAUUUUUGACCAAGAAAUGGUCUCCACCAGAAAUCCAAGAAUGUGAUCUAUGGCAAGGAAACAUAUGUGGGGUGAGGUGUAUGAGCCUCUGGUCGAUGAUCAAUGGCCACACAACCCCCAUUUUUGUCGAAAAUAGCCAUGAACGACCAUUUUCAAUAAUAUCGAAGGCUAACACCUACGGAUUUUUGACCAAGAAAUGGUCUCCACCAGAAAUCCAAGAAUGUGAUCUACGACAAGGAAACAUAUGUGGGGUGAGGUGUAUGAGCCUCUGGUCGACGAUCAAUGGCCACACAACCCCCAUUUUGCCGAAAAUAGCCAUGAAUGACCAUUUUCAAUAAUAUCGAAGGCUAACACCUACGGAUUUUUGACCAAGAAAUGGUCUCCACCAGAAAUCCAAGAAUGUGAUCUACGACAAGGAAACAUAUGUGGGGUGAGGUGUAUGAGCCUCUGGUCGAUGAUCAAUGGCCACACAACCCCCAUUUUGCCGAAAAUAGCCAUGAAUGACCAUUUUCAAUAAUACCGAAGGCUAACACGUACGAGUUUUUAACCAAGAAAUGGUUUCCACCAGAAAUCCAAGAAUGUAAUCUAUGGCAAGGAAACAUAUGUGGGGUGAGGUUUAUGAGCCUCUAGUCGAUGAUAAAUGGCCACACAACCCCCAUUUUUUAUGAAAAUAGCCAUGAGCGACCUUGAAAAUAGCCAUGAGCGACCAUUUUCAAUAAUACUAGAGGCUAACACCUACGGAUUUUAGACCAAGAAAUGGUCUCCACCAGAAAUCCAAGAAUGUGAUCUAUGGCAAGGAAACAUAUGUGGGGUGAGGUGUAUGAGCGUCUGGUCGAUGAUCAAUGGCCACACAACCCCCAUUUUUGUCGAAAAUAGCCAUGAACGACCAUUUUCAAUAAUACCGAAGGCUAACACCUACGGAUUUUUGACCAAGAAAUGGUCUCCACCAGAAAUCCAAGAAUGUGAUCUAUGGCAAGGAAACAUAUGUGGGGUGAGGUGUAUGAGCCUCUGGUCGAUGAUCAAUGGCCACACAACCUCCAUUUUUGUCGAAAAUAGCCAUGAACGACCAUUUUCAAUAAUAUCGAAGGCUAACACCUACUGAUUUUUGACCAAGAAAUGGUCUCCACCAGAAAUCCAAGAAUGUGAUCUACGACAAGGAAACAUAUGUGGGGUGAGGUGUAUGAGCCUCUGGUCGACGAUCAAUGGCCACACAACCCCCAUUUUGCCGAAAAUAGCCAUGAAUGACCAUUUUCAAUAAUAUCGAAGGCUAACACCUACGGAUUUUUGACCAAGAAAUGGUCUCCACCAGAAAUCCAAGAAUGUGAUCUACGACAAGGAAACAUAUGUGGGGUGAGGUGUAUGAGCCUCUGGUCGACGAUCAAUGGCCACACAACCCCCAUUUUGCCGAAAAUAGCCAUGAAUGACCAUUUUCAAUAAUACCGAAGGCUAACACGUACGAGUUUUUAACCAAGAAAUGGUUUCCACCAGAAAUCCAAGAAUGUAAUCUAUGGCAAUGAAACAUAUGUGGGGUGAGGUUUAUGAGCCUCUAGUCGAUGAUAAAUGGCCACACAACCCCCAUUUUUUAUGAAAAUAGCCAUGAGCGACCUUGAAAAUAGCCAUGAGCGACCAUUUUCAAUAAUACUAGAGGCUAACACCUACGGAUUUUAGACCAAGAAAUGGUCUCCACCAGAAAUCCAAGAAUGUGAUCUAUGGCAAGGAAACAUAUGUGGGGUGAGGUGUAUGAGCGUCUGGUCGAUGAUCAAUGGCCACACAACCCCCAUUUUUGUCGAAAAUAGCCAUGAACGACCAUUUUCAAUAAUACCGAAGGCUAACACCUACGGAUUUUUACCAAGAAAUGGUCUCCACCAGAAAUCCAAGAAUGUGAUCUAUGGCAAGGAAACAUAUGUGGGGUGAGGUGUAUGAGCCUCUAGUCGAUGAUCAAUGGCCACACAACCCCCAUUUUUGUCGAAAAUAGCCAUGAAUGACCAUUUUCAAAAAUACCAAAGGCUAACACGUACGGAUUUUUAACCAAGAAAUGGUCUCCACCAGAAAUCCAAGAAUGUGAUCUAUGGCAAGGAAACAUAUGUGGGGUGAGGUGUAUGAGCCUCUGGUCGAUGAUCAAUGGCCACACAACCCCCAUUUUUGUCGAAAAUAGCCAUGAACGACCAUUUUCAAUAAUAUCGAAGGCUAACACCUACGGAUUUUUGACCAAGAAAUGGUCUCCACCAGAAAUCCAAGAAUGUGAUCUACGACAAGGAAACAUAUGUGGGGUGAGGUGUAUGAGCCUCUGGUCGACGAUCAAUGGCCACACAACCCCCAUUUUGCCGAAAAUAGCCAUGAAUGACCAUUUUCAAUAAUAUCGAAGGCUAACACCUACGGAUUUUUGACCAAGAAAUGGUCUCCACCAGAAAUCCAAGAAUGUGAUCUACGACAAGGAAACAUAUGUGGGGUGAGGUGUAUGAGCCUCUGGUCGACGAUCAAUGGCCACACAACCCCCAUUUUGCCGAAAAUAGCCAUGAAUGACCAUUUUCAAUAAUACCGAAGGCUAACACGUACGAGUUUUUAACCAAGAAAUGGUUUCCACCAGAAAUCCAAGAAUGUAAUCUAUGGCAAGAAACAUAUGUGGGGUGAGGUUUAUGAGCCUCUAGUCGAUGAUAAAUGGCCACACAACCCCAUUUUUUAUGAAAAUAGCCAUGAGCGACCUUGAAAAUAGCCAUGAGCGACCAUUUUCAAUAAUACUAGAGGCUAACACCUACGGAUUUUAGACCAAGAAAUGGUCUCCACCAGAAAUCCAAGAAUGUGAUCUAUGGCAAGGAAACAUAUGUGGGGUGAGGUGUAUGAGCGUCUGGUCGAUGAUCAAUGGCCACACAACCCCCAUUUUUGUCGAAAAUAGCCAUGAACGACCAUUUUCAAUAAUACCGAAGGCUAACACCUACGGAUUUUUGACCAAGAAAUGGUCUCCACCAGAAAUCCAAGAAUGUGAUCUAUGGCAAGGAAACAUAUGUGGGGUGAGGUGUAUGAGCCUCUAGUCGAUGAUCAAUGGCCACACAACCCCCAUUUUUGUCGAAAAUAGCCAUGAAUGACCAUUUUCAAAAAUACCAAAGGCUAACACGUACGGAUUUUUAACCAAGAAAUGGUCUCCACCAGAAAUCCAAGAAUGUGAUCUAUGGCAAGGAAACAUAUGUGGGGUGAGGUGUACGAGCCUCUGGUCGAUGAUCAAUGGCCACACAACCCCCAUUUUGCCGAAAAUAGCCAUGAAUGACCAUUUUCAAUAAUACCGAAGGCUAACACGUACGAGUUUUUAACCAAGAAAUGGUCUCCACCAGAAAUCCAAGAAUGUGAUCUAUGGCAAGGAAACAUAUGUGGGGUGAGGUGUAUGAGCGUCUGGUCGAUGAUCAAUGGCCACACAACCCCCAUUUUUGUCGAAAAUAGCCAUGAACGACCAUUUUCAAUAAUACCGAAGGCUAACACCUACGGAUUUUUGACCAAGAAAUGGUCUCCACCAGAAAUCCAAGAAUGUGAUCUAUGGCAAGGAAACAUAUGUGGGGUGAGGUGUAUGAGCCUCUGGUCGACGAUCAAUGGCCACACAACCCCAUUUUUGUCGAAAAUAGCCAUGAACGACCAUUUUCAAUAAUACGAAGGCUAACACCUACGGAUUUUUGACCAAGAAAUGGUCUCCACCAGAAAUCCAAGAAUGUGAUCUAUGGCAAGGAAACAUAUGUGGGUGAGGUGUAUGAGCCUCUGGUCGAUGAUCAAUGGCCACACAACCCCCAUUUUUGUCGAAAAUAGCCAUGAAUGACCAUUUUCAAUAAUACCGAAGGCUAACACCUACGGAUUUUUGACCAAGAAAUGUCUCCACCAGAAAUCCAAGAAUGUGAUCUAUGGCAAGGAAACAUAUGUGGGGUGAGGUGUAUGAGCCUCUGGUCGACGAUCAAUGGCCACACAACCCCCAUUUUGCCGAAAAUAGCCAUGAAUGACCAUUUUCAAUAAUACCGAAGGCUAACACUACGAGUUUUUAACCAAGAAAUGGUCUCCACCAGAAAUCCAAGAAUGUAAUCUAUGGCAAGGAAACAUAUGUGGGGUGAGGUUUAUGAGCCUCUAGUCGAUGAUAAAUGGCCACACAAGCCCCAUUUUUUAUGAAAAUAGCCAUGAGCGACCUUGAAAAUAGCCAUGAGCGACCAUUUUCAAUAAUACUAGAGGCUAACACCUACGGAUUUUAGACCAAGAAAUGGUCUCCACCAGAAAUCCAAGAAUGUGAUCUAUGGCAAGGAAACAUAUGUGGGGUGAGGUGUAUGAGCGUCUGGUCGAUGAUCAAUGGCCACACAACCCCCAUUUUUGUCGAAAAUAGCCAUGAAUGACCAUUUUCAAUAAUACCGAAGGCUAACACCUACGGAUUUUUGACCAAGAAAUGGUCUCCACCAGAAAUCCAAGAAUGUGAUCUAUGGCAAGGAAACAUAUGUGGGGUGAGGUGUAUGAGCC
rnacentral:lncRNA from 1 species